rnacentral:tRNA from 1 species
GCAGUGGUGGCUCAGUGGUAGAAUGCUCGCCUUCCAUUGCGGAGACCUGGGUUUGAUUCCCAGCUGGUGCA